rnacentral:rRNA from 1 species
ACCAGACUCCUACGGGAGGCAGCAGUGGGGGAUAUUGCACAAUGGGGGGAACCCUGAUGCAGCGACGCCGCGUGGGUGAAGAAGUAUUUCGGUAUGUAAAGCCCUAUCGGCAGGGAAGAAAUUGGACGGUACCUGACUAAGAAGCCCCGGCUAACUACGUGCCAGCAGCCGCGGUAAUACGUAGGGGGCAAGCGUUAUCCGGAUUCACUGGGUGUAAAGGGAGCGUAGACGGCCAUGCAAGCCUGGAGUGAAAGCCCGGGGCCCAACCCCGGGACUGCUCUGGGAACUGUGCGGCUGGAGUGCGGGAGGGGCAGGCGGAAUUCCUGGUGUAGCGGUGAAAUGCGUAGAUAUCAGGAGGAACACCGGCGGCGAAGGCGGCCUGCUGGACCGCGACUGACGUUGAGGCUCGAAAGCGUGGGGAGCAAACAGGAUUAGAUACCCGUGUAUA